rnacentral:lncRNA from 1 species
AGACGGUUUGGCUCGCGCCGUCGGCGGUUAGCGCCUGAGCAAAGGAGUCUUUGUGUGAUCUGUCAGUGAAGAUUCCACAAUGCUGCGGUGGAUGUUUGUAGUUCCACUAAGAAUUCGAGAAUCCGUCUUAAUCGCAGCAGAACUGGACACAGCUUCCACGACUGAAUAAUCAACAGAACUACAGCUUCAACAAGGAAUCAUUUAAAUUGUGAAGGAAAACCAGCAAAAAGUGUAUCGGAUGCUCCAAAUCUGCCAUUGGACUUGCUCAGUGUGGAGGGCCUGAUUCUCACUUUGCUUUUGGCCAUGGAAAUCCUGCAGCCCUUAUCGACUCUCUUCACUUGCAGAAUAUACAUCACUGCAAAGCGCUUCGGGAUGUCCUGACUCGGAACUGUUCCAAAGGAGGCUGCGGAGAACCAGAGGCACGGUGAGUCCCCUGCACACCCUGGCCUGCACCGGCUGCAAUUCCAACUCCCUGGGGCUGGGCGGUCGUGUUAAGGCACUCACUCCAAAAGAACCUUAUGUCUGUCCUGAGACUGCUGACAUGUUUCAAUGCGUUUCAGCCAGUAAUUUGGGAAAAAUUACCGUGCUUAGGAUAAUACUGACAGGAUGGAGAACAAUGCUUCAAACAAGAAAAAAAUAAAGUACAUUAUAUACAUGA